UUUUUUUUUUAAAAAAAACCCCGGGGGGGUUUUAAAAAAAAACCCCCCCCCGGGGUUUUUUUUUAAAAAAAACCCCCGGGGGGGGUUUUUUUAAAAAAAAAACCCCCCCCCCGGGGGGGGGGGGUUUUUUUUU
rfam:Sarcophilus harrisii ctg7180002330760, whole genome shotgun sequence.